CUUCAAUGGCAUCGUUGAUCAUCAAAGGGAUAGCCUCCUCGAGCUCCAGAACAAUGGUAUUUGGGUAAUCGUACAACAUCGCAGCAGCAUUUAAAACCCUAGACUGAAUUUUAGAGAUGGAGAUGGCGAAGAGUAAAGUUUUAGGUGAGGACAAACAAGGAAGGGUGUGGGGGUUUAUAGGAGGAGCAAUAAUUGCCGUUUACUAUGUUGAAUAGGAAUAGUUACAUACUUUAAUAGGAAAGAUACUGUAUAGUUUUUAUGGUUUGAAGUCGACAUUUGUUUCUGUUUAGUCCUUAUGGUUUUAUUUUAAUCUGAAUAGUCUUUAAAGUCACAAAUUUUUUUAUCUAAAUCGUCCUUAUAGUUUUAGGUGAGGACAAACAAGGAAGGGUGUGGGGGUUUAUAGGAGGAGCAAUAAUUGCCAUUUACUAUGUUGAAUAGGAAUAGUUACAUACUUUAAUAGGAAAGAUACUGUAUA
rnacentral:lncRNA from 1 species